UACGAAGGUCCCGAGCGUUGUUCGGAUUCACUGGGCGUAAAGGGUGCGUAGGCGGCGCGGUAAGUCGGGUGUGAAAUCUCGGAGCUUAACUCCGAAACUGCAUUCGAUACUGCCGUGCUUGAGGACUGGAGAGGAGACUGGAAUUUACGGUGUAGCGGUGAAAUGCGUAGAUAUCGUAAGGAAGACCAGUGGCGAAGGCGGGUCUCUGGACAGUUCCUGACGCUGAGGCACGAAGGUCAGGGGAGCAAACGGG
rnacentral:rRNA from 1 species